rnacentral:rRNA from 1 species
AUUGAACGCUGGCGGAAUGCUUUACACAUGCAAGUCGAACGGCAGCACGGACUUCGGUCUGGUGGCGAGUGGCGAACGGGUGAGUAAUGUAUCGGAACGUGCCCAGUCGUGGGGGAUAACGUAGUGAAAAUUACGCUAAUACCGCAUACGAUCUAUGGAUGAAAGCGGGGGAUCGCAAGACCUCGCGCGAUUGGAGCGGCCGAUAUCGGAUUAGGUAGUUGGGGGGGUAAAGGCCCACCAAGCCAACGAUCUGUAGGUGGUCUGAGGGGACGACCAGCCACGCUGGAACUGAGACACGGUCCAGACUCCUACGGGAGGCAGCAGUGGGGAAUUUUGGACAAUGGGCGAAAGCCUGAUCCAGCCAUUCCGCGUGCAGGAUGAAGGCCCUCGGGUUGUAAUCUGCUUUUGUACAGAAAGAAAAGGUUUCUACUAAUACUAGGAGCUCAUGACGGUACUGUAAGAAUAAGCACCGGCUAACUACGUGCCAGCAGCCGCCGCAG